rnacentral:rRNA from 1 species
GACGAACCGUGCGAACGUUAUUCGGAAUCACUGGGCUUAAAGGGCGCGUAGGCGGGCCAGCAAGUCAGGGGUGAAAGCCUCCGGCUCAACCGGAGAAGUGCCUCUGAUACUGCGGGCCUCGAGGGAGGUAGGGCGUGCGGAACUUCCGGUGGAGCGGUGAAAUGCGUAGAUAUCGGAAGGAACACCGGUGGCGAAAGCGGCGUACUGGGUCUUAUCUGACGCUGAGGCACGAAAGCUAGGGUAGCGAA